rnacentral:tRNA from 1 species
GCCAUUUUUGCUCAGUUGGUAGAGCAAUUCUCAUAAUAACAGGUCUGGGGUUCGAGUCCCUAAAAAGGCU